rnacentral:misc_RNA from 1 species
CAAGGUUUCCGUAGGUGAACCUGCGGAAGGAUCAUUAACCGUUACAAACAGUGUGUGCUGCGGCCCCCGAGGUGAGGCAACGAGCCUUCGGGAGGUCUGGGGUCCGCCCCUUCACGCGCACGCGUCUGCCAUCCUUACUUUACGAGCACCUUCUGUUCUCCCUCGGCAUGCGUCCUGCGCUGCCGUUGGAAUUACAAAACUCUUUUUUGCAUCUAGCAUUACCUGUUCCGACAAUAACAAUCGUUACAACUUUCAACAAUGGAUCUCUUGGCUCUGGCAUCGAUGAAGAACGCAGCGAAAUGCGAUAAGUAGUGUGAAUUGCAGAAUUCAGUGAAUCAUCGAAUCUUUGAACGCACAUUGCGCCCCUCGGUAUUCCGUGGGGCAUGCCUGUUCGAGCGUCAUCUACACCCUCAAGCUCUGCUUGGUGUUGGGCGUCUGUCCCGCCUCGGCGCGCGGACUCGCCCCAAAUGCAUUGGCAGCGGUCUUUGCCUCCUCUCGCGCAGCACAUUGCGCUUCUCGAGGUGUCGCGGACACGCGUCCAGUAAGCAACAUUUACCGUCUUUGACCUCGGAUCAGGUAGGGAUACCCGCUGAACUUAAGCA